AGCGAACGCUGGCGGCAGGCCUAACACAUGCAAGUCGAACGGACCCUUCGGGGUUAGUGGCGGACGGGUGAGUAACACGUGGGAACGUGCCUUUAGGUUCGGAAUAGCUCCUGGAAACGGGUGGUAAUGCCGAAUGUGCCCUUCGGGGGAAAGAUUUAUCGCCUUUAGAGCGGCCCGCGUCUGAUUAGCUAGUUGGUGAGGUAAUGGCUCACCAAGGCGACGAUCAGUAGCUGGUCUGAGAGGAUGACCAGCCACAUUGGGACUGAGACACGGCCCAAACUCCUACGGGAGGCAGCAGUGGGGAAUCUUGCGCAAUGGGCGAAAGCCUGACGCAGCCAUGCCGCGUGGAUGAUGAAGGUCUUAGGAUUGUAAAAUCCUUUCACCGGUGAAGAUAAUGACUGUAGCCGGAGAAGAAGCCCCGGCUAACUUCGUGCCAGCAGCCGCAGUAA
rnacentral:rRNA from 1 species